UGGAAAGUUGAAUGACAAGAUGAGUCUAUCGGCAGUAUCUACCGCAAUUGGCUAAAUAUUAGAUUGGUAUCUGAAAUUUUAAGUUUGAAGCCUAAUUAUUUUACAUUUUUAGCUGAGUCCAAGUCUAAAACAAUAAACAAAGCGGGAUUGGACUACGGAAAAAAAAAAAAAUCUUAUAUGAUGCCUAUAAAUUACAAUUACGAUGCAUUUGGUUCUUGUGAUGAAAAAUUAUCAGGAAUGAAAGAAUUUCUAAUAGUUUGUUUCCUACUCAUUUUAUUAUUAAGAGUGUGGCAUUCCAACCGACUGUCCCUAGCGCAAGUGGUAAAGGAGUUAGUGGUUAGUACCCGAGAUCCCAAGUUUGAAUUCUAGCUGAUUCACAUUUCCGACUAAGUUUAUUUCUAAAAGAAAUAAACAAAGCGGUGAUAUUCCAAUGUUUGGUUCGCAUAGUUACAUUAUUUAAGAUUAUCUGAAAUACAAAAUUGAUAUGUUUGUUUUGUCAAUCAUUUCAAGUAAUCUUAGCAUGAAUGUGAACACCUAUUUCUUUCCAAUAAUCUUAAACAUUUUGUUUUUAGGUUAAAUUGGAAGAGUUUGAGUUUCUAAAGAGGGGAGGGGAGGGGAGGGGAGUGGUGGAUAUUUGUGAUGCCCCAACUUUCCAGGGCAUCAUCCAUCCUAGGACUACUCCCGUCUUAGCACGCUUAACUCUCUUAAGCCGGAAAAUGUUUAAGGUUUAACCACCGCUCAAAAUGCUUAAGCCGAAUUAAGAGUUUUAGCCUAUUAUAUCUUAUAUAUAGGACUAUCCGGAGUCUCAUAUUCUUCCACUCUUAAGUCCUCACAUUCUCCUUAGACUCGGACUCCAAGUAAUCUUCACAAUUUAUUUUUCAAACCAGUCGCACCGCGAAAUUGUCGAUGAGUCUGAGUCCCAAAACUGUAGUCGAUUAUCAAUUUCAAAGCACAUCUAACAAGAAUGAUAGUCUUAUAUUGAAUAUAAAAAAAAAAAAAGAAAAUUUUCACCAAUCAUAAAAAUUUUAGAAUAGGAUUCGAAUUCUUUAACAUCGCAUUAGAGUCCUGUUAAAAUCUCCUAUAAUUCAGGUCAUCUCAGCAUAGCUCCAAUAAACAGAAUUGUAGUUUACCAACAAAUUAACAGAGUUUAAAAGAUCCUCGUGCCUUAUGAUGGAAGACAAAAAAACUUCUACAACAAUUUUUGUGGAUUGUAAUCUUAGGAAGAUCAUAGCUAGUUACAAUCGUAUGCGAGAUUUUCUUUAGUUUUUGACUUUUGUGCCCCAAUUUUAGAGUUCCCUUACCUCAUUCGUUUUCAACUUUAUUGAUCUAUAUUUGUCCAUUUACAAGCAAAUUUAUAUCCAAUAGCAAUAUGUUAAAUAUGGACAUACGUUCUUCUCCAAUUGGAUAAGUCUUUUGUGGAAAAAAGUUAGUUAACGUUAUACUGCACAAAUCUCAAAGGACAUUGUUGAAAAGGUAAUGAGAAAAGGACAAAAAAGAUAAGGUGCCUCUUUGACAAUUGAAACCUCUCUAUCUCUUCUAAAGGAGGCCUAAGUUUAAAUGCACCAAAACCAUCUGAAAUUAUUAUACCUUCACAAGGACUCGAGCUAAUCACUUUAGCUAAAGAAACCGAAACGAAGACACAUGCAAAAACAAGUUGUUAGUGUCCUCGGAAUGCAAAAUUUUGAAAACCUGAUACAAAUGCUUUCAACGAGGCAAAGAUAAUUGGAUUGCAUAUAUUUAGGAAUCACUUUGCUCUUCAAAUUUCUUAAAAUCCUUCUUUUUCAAAAUUUUUUGUCAGUCCCAUUAAUUGUAGUUUUAAUGGUUUUGAUUGCUCAUUGUACAAAACUUUAACAAAUAGCACGUUGAGUCCAUGUAUAGUAAUUAAUGAUCCACGUUUACAGGUCGAACUGGCCAAGUAUAUUGAAUUAAAAAGGGAUCUAAUUUAGCUCUUCUCAGUUCAAUUGGUAAUUAUUAAUCUUAAGUAAAGUGAAUCUUUGAUGGUUUCUUGGGGAAAAAACUCUUAAACGGUUGAAUUAUGUUGUAUACGAGUCAUGAUAUCAGUAGAAAAUAACGUUACACCUAAUUAAUAUGAUAGCUAAUGUGUUAGUAUUUUGAUCUUCGACGAUAAGUUUUUGAAUCUCAAGAACUUUUUUAGUGUACAAGUUAAAAAAAAAAGAAAAAAAAAAAAGAAAAAAAAAGUGAGUGUUGAUCGUCAAAUUUGACGGCUUCAGUACUCUUAAUUGGAAGUAUCAUCAAUUUUUCCCCAUCGAAUCUUCCAAUUCAACUACUGUCACUGCUUUGCUCGUUUUGAUUCAAUUCAGAAACCAUUAAUUCCACACAAAAAAAAAAAAAGGAAAAGUAAAAGUACACAGGGUUACCAACCUUCUCUUGCGCGAGUGACAAAGGGCUUGGAGGUUGAUACCUGAUGAGGUUCGUCCUAAGUUUGAAUCCUAGUUGAUUCACAUUUCCAGCCAAAUUUAUUUCUAAAUGAAAUAAACGAAGUGAAUAGCAUCCUACCUAUCUCUCAAAAAAACAAAAAAAAAAAAAAGUACCCAGGGUUCAUUGAGAAUUAAAUCCUAGUCGUCCGAUCAUCACAGUAUUUCUAUUACCACAUUUGAAGAAUAUGGUUGACUUUUCCCUUGAUUUAACUGUCACAUAUAUGUGACAAAGUAAUGGCAUGCCUUUGCAAUGCACAUGAACUGUUUUUAUACUAAGUAUAAAUGUUCAGAAGUACUAUGAAAAACUACAGGACAUUUUCAGUGAUUCAGAAAGUGUUAUGAGUCAGCAAUUAAGAGAAUUAAGAGAAAAAAGCACACUGUUAUUUAAUUUAAUUAAUAUGAUAGGAUACCCCUUCCCCUCCCACCCUAUAACACACCCCCACCCUACCCUACCCUACCCCAAGGGAAAAAAAAGGAUAAUGUUCGAGUGUUGAAUACCCAAAUUGAUUUGGUAGUGUGGAUAAUUAGGAUUUGUUACUACUUAAUCGAGAGAGAGACCGGUGUGUUAAUUUGAGCCUCUGUGCUGUUCUUUAGGUUGCUCAGUAAGUCCUGAUAUGCUUAACAGACCAGCUUUAAUUUACUUAAGCCAUAUUGCUGUUUAAGAAAACACCAAAUAGAUUUAUUGUGCUGCAAUAAUUAAUGUCAUUUUAGCACCUUAUGCACAUAUAGGUGCUAGUUUCUGUGGCUCUUAAAAUCCUUCAUCAAUGAUGAUGGGAUGCUAUAUCUAGUUAUUGGGGCACAAAGCAUUUCUAUAUCUGACACAUGCCAUCAUGAUGCUUAAGCAAAUUUGUGCAUAUAGUUGGAUGGAUUACUAAAGAUGGGGGUUGAACAUAUGCUGCAACCAGUAAAAGAGGAGGUGAAUUUAAUUUGAGAGGGAGCAAGAGCAGGCUUUCUUUAUCAUAGUAACUGCAACCAAAGAGGGCCCCUAUUCCCACUAGUGGAAUAGUAUAAGAGCAUUAUAUUUAUACUAAUUCUAUGUAGGCUAAAGGGGACCUUUACUUACUGUGUGGGUUGUCUCUUUGCUCCCUUCAAUAGUCCCCUCUGCUGCUCCUCACAAGUCACAAGCCCUCCCCUAUUCCCUCCACACUCAUACAUGCAUCAAUAACCCAUGUCACACAUACAUAUGUACAUGUGUAUAUAUAUAUAUAUAUAUAUAUAUAUAUAUAUAUAUAUAUAUCUCCCACUAGCUAUAUAGCUUUCUUGACAACAUACUGCACCAAUCUGAGCCGUCUGAUGGAACCGCGUGUAUGCGUAGUAACAACCCGACUAGCUAGCACAUAAAUAAUAUUUUGGCUACUAAUUAAUUUCAGUAACUUAUAAAAGCUAAAAUUACUAGUGGUCCAAAGUUCUUAUUAAACUUGGGUAUCUUAUAAUGUGCUAGUUAAUUCCUAUGUUAUAUACUGAAGCAUGUAUGUAUGUAUAGUGCUUGCAGAGGGGUCGCAAUCGGAAUAUGAUUCAUCUCCCUUAGAUGUAUUAUUAUGACACCCCGAGAUGUGUGCCUUUUUCGUUUGAGAAGAGAGAUAUAUAUAUAUAUAUAGUCCCCCUUAGUAAUUGAAGGGGCCCUCCUCCCAAAAGGUGACAAGGGUGAUGGCGUGUUGGUAGUACAGUUCACAUGUUAUCAAAGACAACCAUUGAUUAGUGCUGCCGCGUCAGUGCUUAAUGCCCUAUACAUUAGUCACUUGUGUAGAGUAGAGACAGAGAGAUAAAGGAUUCUAGAGAGGAAGGACCACCAAUUAUGGGGAGAUAUACAUAUAGGAGUACUGAGCCCUCCGCAUGAAAUAGUAGCUUAGCAUAAGGUGUGUGUGUGUGUGUGUGUGUGUGUGUGUGUGUGUGUGUGUGUGUGUGUGUACCUACCAAGGCCUCUGGGGGUGUGGGGUGAUAUUUAGUAGAUGGGGAGUGGUGUGUUACUGUUAAUUAGAAGGUUGUCAUGUGGGGUGUCUUUACUUGUUGAUGGUGACUUGCAAACUAAAUGGUGAUGUACAUAUGUAUAUCAUGGUAUUGGGGCAGGUUAAUUAUGUAUGUGCCAUUGGAUGGAUGAGGCAUCCCCAUAUCAUCAAUCAUCAACUGGGUGCACCAUGUGGGUGGUGCCACUUGGAAUGACCCCAGCCUCUUCCUUCAUAUGGAAUUGAGUGGAGGCCACCACCCAACCCAUCUCGAUCUCCCUUCUUAGAUUCCUACAAUAUUUGUUAUCAUGUUGAAUGUUAUACCAAACCAAUGAUGUGUAUGUGUGUGUAUUGUGUGUGUGUGUGUGUGUGUGUGAGAGAGCGAGAGAGAGAGAGAGAGAGAGAGAGAGAGAGAGAGAGAGAGUAGAGAGUAGAGAGAGAGAGAGGGGGGGGGGGGGGGGGGGGGGGGGGAGAGGAUGAUGGAUGGGGUUGUUGUACUAAAGUGGACCUAUGAAAACCAGGUGGGGGUGAAGGCUCUUAAAGAAAAAAGCUGGCUAAUUGGGGGACCUCUCCAACCCUCCUCCCUCUCUCAUUUUUUUUCUCUACAUCUCUCUUCUCUCCCUGUCAUCAUUUAUUCAGAUGAGAGGGCAUUGUCUUGUGUAUUAAUGCUUAGUGUGUGAGCAUUUACAGUGAUCAGCAAUUAUGCCCAUUAACUACAAGUUAAAAGCCUAAGGACCACCACACUGAUAGAUCCAAAACAAAAACAAAAACAAAAACAAAAACAAAAUAAAUAAAUGAAAAGAACAAAACCAAAAAGAAAAAAAAGAAAAAAAAAAAAGAAAAAAGAAUCCCACACCCCUCAGGCCUCCAUCCUCUCUCUCUCUCUCUCUCUCUCUCUCUCUGUCUCUCUCUCUCUCUACCUCUUCCCCACAUUCUUUAUGCUCCUCCUUACUGACAAAAGGCCCCAAAAUUCCCAUCCCUCAAGGAUUCUUAGGCUUCACUAGGCACUUCCUCAUUUAGGUGAUGGCAAUCCCAAAAGGGUUGGCACCAAUUACUCAAAAAAAGCCCCUUACCCACUUGUCAACUCCUUUUGUCCCCACCCCCUCUCCGAUCUCUCCCAUUUAUUAUUAACUGUGAAUCAUUCGCUUUUACUGAACAUGGUUGAGAGGAAAAACCAAGUAGCUAGCUAGCUAGCUAGCUAGGCGCCUACUAAAGCCAAAUGCCUGUGCUACCGCAGUUACUAUUACAGCAAAGUAAUUACUUGUGCCCGUAUGCCUAUGAUUGAUACAUAGCAUGUGGCCGAGACAAAAACCAGUUUUAAUAAACACCUACAAAUACAAACAAGGCCAAAGGGGAAGGGGACUUAAGAGAAAGAGAGAGAGAGAGAGAGAGAGAGAGAGAGAGAGAGAGAGAGAGAGGGGAGGGGAUAUGGGAUGGUACUAUGGUGUGGUAUUGUUGUUGCGGUGUAUGUAUUGGUGGUGUGGUGCGGGUGUGGGGAGGGGUGGGGGAGUGGCGGGAAACCCCAAUAAUUCCUGCCCCGCCCUGCCCGUUUUGUAAAUCCGGGCAGGGGGGGCGGGCCCCCCACCCUGCCCCUGCCCCUGCCCCCCUGGGAAAACCGUUGAGCCUUCGCUGUUCGGUCGCUUUCUCUUCUCAUGCAUGCCCCAGAGUAAGACACAUACUCUCUCUCUCUCUCUCUCUCUCUCUCUAGAUCUCUCUCUAGAUCCCCCUCUCUCUCUCUCUCUCUCUCUCUCUCCUUCUCUCCCCCUCUCUCUCUCUCUCUCUCUCUCUCUCUCUCUCUAGAGAGAUGUGGGGACACAAAAAAAAAGAAAAAGUUUUACUUUACUGGAAAGGAUAGCACCGUUGGAUGGACCUGGUCCACCAUAAAUCAUUCUCGAAAAAUGCAAUCUCUUUAUUUAUUUAUUAGAGAUACUUAAGUGUAAAAUUAUAAAGUAAUGCUACCUGUUACGCUCGCGUGUAACGUUUUACAUUCUACUUAUCGGACAUAUUCGAGUAAUCUUAUCAUUUAUNCUCUUCCCCACAUUCUUUAUGCUCCUCCUUACUGACAAAAGGCCCCAAAAUUCCCAUCCCUCAAGGAUUCUUAGGCUUCACUAGGCACUUCCUCAUUUAGGUGAUGGCAAUCCCAAAAGGGUUGGCACCAAUUACUCAAAAAAAGCCCCUUACCCACUUGUCAACUCCUUUUGUCCCCACCCCCUCUCCGAUCUCUCCCAUUUAUUAUUAAACUAUGAAUCAUUCGCUUUUACUGAACAUGGUUGAGAGGAAAAACCAAGUAGCUAGCUAGCUAGCUAGCUAGGCGCCUACUAAAGCCAAAUGCCUGUGCUACCGCAGUUACCAUUACAGCAAAGUAAUUACUUGUGCCCGUAUGCCUAUGAUUGAUACAUAGCAUGUGGCCGAGACAAAAACCAGUUUUAAUAAACACCUACAAAUACAAACAAGGCCAAAGGGGAAGGGGGGGACUUAAGAGAAAGAGAGAGAGAGAGAGAGAGAGGGGAGGGGAUAUGGGAUGGUACUAUGGUGUGGUAUUGUUGUUGCGGUGUAUGUAUUGGUGCAUGGUGUGGUGCGGGUGUGGGGAGGGGUGGGGGAGUGGCGGGAAACCCCAAUAAUUCCUGCCCCGCCCUGCCCGUUUUGUAAAUCCGGGCAGGGGGGGCGGGCCCCCCACCCUGCCCCUGCCCCUGCCCCCCUGGGAAAACCGUUGAGCCUUCGCUGUUCGGUCGCUUUCUCUUCUCAUGCAUGCCCCAGAGUAAGACACAUACUCUCUCUCUCUCUCUCUCUCUCUCUCUCUAGAUCUCUCUCUAGAUCCCCCUCUCUCUCUCUCUCUCUCCUUCUCUCUCUCUCUCUCUCUCUCUCUAGAGAGAUGUGGGGACACAAAAAAAAGAAAAGUUUUACUUUACUGGAAAGGAUAGCACCGUUGGAUGGACCUGGUCCACCAUAAAUCAUUCUCGAAAAAUGCAAUCUCUUUAUUUAUUUAUUAGAGAUAUUUAAGUGUAAAAUUAUAAAGUAAUGCUACCUGUUACGCUCGCGUGUAACGUUUUACAUUCUACUUAUCCGCAUAUUCGAGUAAUCUUAUCAUUUAUUUUUAAUACUAAAAAUUUAAAAAAUAUAUGAAUUUUAAAAUAGGUGAGGAGUGAGAUGUAUACAUCGAUAUACAUAUACAAAUAGUAUUUUAUUAACUUUAAAUAUUCGUUAUAUAUAGUCUACAAUAUUUUAGAAAAAAAAAAUUAUUACAUAAUUUUUCGUGUAUAUAGAAAAUAUUAUGUCUAGGUGUUACUUAGGUUUCAAUCCAUUUUUUCGUAGAUAGAUCGUUUAAUCAUUAUAAUCACAUAAUUAUAGCUAGUAGUCUAAAUUUUAAGGUCAUUGGUUGACUUAAGACCUAUUUGGCAUGUUCUCCCUUAUUAGGGUAUUAAGCAUUGGGCACGAAUAAUCUUUAAUCUUAGCAGAGUAUUUCAUAAGCUGAAAUUUUUUUAAAAAAAAAAACCUAAAGGAUUUGAUACAAUUAGAAGCAUAAAUAAGGUAAUAUUUUAUGAAACAACGUCAGCAUUAUGCUCUAGAUAUGUUUGUUGCAUAAACAAGGUGGAGAUGAGUAAAGUAAUUUUUGACGAAAAAUGUUUACUUUUGUUGUCCAAAAUAACAUAAUUGACUUG
rnacentral:lncRNA from 1 species